GCAGCCGCUCGCCCCCAGCGCUCCGCAUCCCGGCGGGUGAAGGCAAAGAGCUGCAGGACCUUCUGCGGGAAGCAUGCGAGCCUUAGCCCCGCAGGCCGGCACAGCCUGCCGUUUGAUGCUUGGGCCCGCUUCCAGGUUUCAAAACAAAAAAAACCCUCGUUUUUUAGGGUGUCUCGUUUGCACCAAUAAGCCAGACAUCAUGUAAAGGCAUCAAAAGGGGUUACAGAAGUAGGCUGAUGUUAGUCCUAGUUGCAACCUUAAAAAUGGGUCAUUCAUCUGCAUUUGUGAAAGGUUUUGCAUCUGCUUAUUAAAAUAAUAUUAUGUGGUAAGGCUUAAAGAAUCUGUGUGGUUCUGUAUGUGUGGAUUCUUGAAUAAUAUUCUCGAGGUGCUAAAGAUAGGUGGGCUGUCAGGUGCAUUUUGAGAAGGCAGCUAAACAAAGCCCUUCCGUUUGAUGUUGUCUUAAUUGCCAUGCUCAGCCUGCUACUGGAUUACUUUGUUACUGUGUAGAAAGCAAGAACUCCUUAAUAUUUACUACGCAAGUCAGAAAGGUGAAUUUUUCAGAAUUAAAAGAUUAAUUUGAUUAAGGCCAUCUAAUUGUGUGGACUUCCCCCAUAUUCUAAUCUCCACCCAUCAUGUUCCAGCAUGGGUGGAGAAUGGCAUCACAAAUCUCGAAUACUCCCAUGCUACACAACAUCCUAUUGUUUAGGCAAACUUCUCUCUCUUGCUUUCAGAAAUCUUACUGUACAAAUGCUGGUACAGAUUAUUUGUGUUGUAAAGCAACUGCCUGCCUUUUCAUUUGAUUCUGUUAGUGUACUGUGAGUACUGUCAGCUGACCAGGAGCAAGUAUGCCAGCACCCGUGACCACUUAACAAAGGGAGUUGCAUUCACUUCAUGUCAGGUUGAUUACAGAGGUCAUCACUUGUGGUGGUGAGCAGAUUGCAAGCUAUAGACUGUCAGCAUAAGUGAAGUAAGAACUGUUUCCCAAGGUAGAAUAUUUUUCCUUCACACAGUACUAUAUAGGGAUGAUACUGAUGAUUCACUCUCUAAAACAUGACAGGCUACAGGUGUAGUACAGUGGUGUAAUACUGCAUUCUGGUCCUUGUGCAUCAGCACAAGUAGUGUGCAGUUCUGAGAUUUCGUUGUGUGUUGGUAGGUGUUCACAGCCAGCAGCUGAGGUAACGGGGAAGGAGUCUCAUGAGCAACACCUUCUGAAGUAGAUACCAAGAUUUGGUAAUAUCUAACAGUAACUAAAAAAUAUGGUUCCUUAAGCCUUUUAUAAGAACUACUGUUUGGACUAACAAAAAUCAAGUGUCAGUUAAUUGUUCAUUGCUAACCCUACCUUAGUUUCUUCCCCUUGUCUCCAGAAGCCCCUCCCUUUUACAUACAGUACAGCUGCAAAAUGCUUUUGUAGCUGCACUGUGUUGGUGUGCGUAGCACUUCCCUUGAUCUGCCCUCCCUAGUGAAAUGUCAGCUGUGCAAACUACUGGUCUUAAGAAACAUGCACAGCAUCUGGUUGAACUGUGUCAUUGCUGAGUUCAAUCUAGUAAUUGAAUGACUGAGCAUUUCAAGACUGCAAUACAAAAAUAUAAAAAUAAGAACUUUACCCUGAGAACUUGCAAAAUGUCAUGCUGGAGAAAGCAUAUGCACUAGCCUCUGGCAGGUCAGCUGGUGAGCCUGGCUAAUGUACUGCACAGGUGGAAUUGAACUUCAUUGCUGCUUUCUAUUUAAUGACAGAACAUGGUUCCAGAUAACAUUUUUCUAGUGGUGUGUGGAAGUCACAGAAAUCCUUUCCGUUAUCCAACAUUGAACACAUCAUUGGCUAUCUAGUGGAGUUUCUCAUUACGCUAGACUUUCUUCCAUCUUUACCAAAGAACCACCACCACCCACACACUCAGUCCAGUGAAUUCUUUGUGUGUCUUCUGCUUCCAUGUUCUAAAUCUCACUUCCUUUCCCAAGACUUUAGCUAUUUUUCUUAAAAUCUUCUCUAGUUAGUCUUAUAUUCCUCCCCAGUUAAAGGGUGUUCUUUUACUUAUUUUUCUUCUGCUUUUACAUUUGGAGAAUUAAUAUAGCAUGUGAAUUCUUUCAUUUUUCUCUCAUUCAGGGAGAGGGGCAAACAAGACCACCAAAACCACAGCAUCGGUUCUGUUACUGCUGCCUUACCAGUUAAGGAAUGUGUUGACUGUUGCUGUAGUUAACUCAUUUUUCAUUUAACUCGCCACCUGGUACUCUUACAAUCCAAGAUACUAACCAGUAGAUUGAAACUGCAGAAUUUUAAGUGUUUAAUUAUUUGACAGGUUAGUGUCAGCUGCCCAGAAUUACUAUUAGUAACCCUCUGCUAUUGAGGAUUGAGAAUAAUGGAAAUUAUGUUCUGUUAAUAUUUGUUGUCUAAAAUAUUCAAUACUACCAGUAAAAGCAAGCACAGGGUAGUAUCUGCAGCUAUUCAAGAACAGAAAAGAGAACUUGGAUAUAUUAAUUCUUACACUAUUCUGGAACUCUUCCAUAACGAUCACCUUGUUAACUUAAGCAGGACUGUGAUGAGGAUUAUCAUUGUGAAAAUAACUUUGUAUAUAGUAAACAACCACAUGUAAAAAAUAGUGCAGAAUCUGUAUCUCUAGCUGAGACGUUUGAAGUUUGAAAUGUUCAAAUUUCCACAAAACCUGAAGUAACAGAUGAUGUGAAUUUUUUCAUUAAUCAUUUAUCUUAAUAAAAUGAUUGCCAAACUUUUUUGAUGUAAAACCCAGGACCAUAAAGCCUCGUAUAACUGAUGAAUGAAGUGGGUAAGAUGAGAGAGAAAAGUAAUGGUUAGUUGCUUAUUUCUCUUCAAAUAUUUCAGUUCUAUAGGUGCCUACAAUAUUCAACUUAAACAGUGGUGUAUCAGAUUUGUACCAUGCAAUAAGGAUAACGUCAGUUACCCUUUUCUAGUCAAGUGAUCGGCAGACUGUUACAUGUUGCAUCAAAAUGACUGACAUAAUUGUCUGUGGAACAUCACUAACGAUCUCCAACAAAUGGGAAAUUGUUGAGAUCCAUGUUCUGCUCAUGAAACAGCAAGAUUUUCAUGUACAGAUGGAAUGAAUGGGGAGAAAAGUGGGAUAAGGCAACAAAUCCUCCUGUCCAGCUUUAUGAAUGGGAGGAGUCCGGCAUUCUAGAGCUUUGUUUUUGUAUGCUUGAAAGUUUCAAACGUGGCAGGUCUAAAACCAUGUUUCCCUUCAACACAAUUAUGCAAUCCUAUCAGAGUUACAUAAAAAAAGUGAAUAAUGGUAGCACAUGAUAGUUCCACAAUGCAUGCAAAAUCCUCAUUUAUAUUCAGUGUAUACUUUAAAAAUAGUUGCCUGCUUUCAUACUAGGUUAGAAUGAGGUAAUCCUAUACAAACUAGAAUACAGCUUUGUUGUUAUAGUUAAGCAAACAACUUAGUUACAGACUGGUAUAUUAAAAUGAGUCUCUCUGCAUCAAAAUGUAACAUGCUAUCUCAUGUCUCUAGAGAAGUGUCACAUAGUGCCAGAUGCCUGGCCUGCUACAAGGUGUGUGGCUAUUAGAAAUACUGGAGUGACCUUUCAGAAGAGCAUUCAGCAACUUUCAACUACAGUAUUAAUGGAGAUUUGAGGCUUUAUGCUACACUGUACAGAGGUAAGUUGCCUUUCUCUAAAUGUGCACUUAAAUCCUUCAGUAAUUUCUGUAAUGCUCACAAUCCUCACUUAGCAUAUCUUGAUUGAAUUUAAAACUUUUCACUUUAAAACUGAUGAUAUGACAGAUUGUAACACAAAAUAUGUUAGAUUUAUUCAUAUGAAUUUAAACCAGGAUUUUUUAUUUCUUGGUAUUUGAUUACUGUCAUGCAACCUAUCACUUUGGAGCAGUGUAGUUGCUUACUUGCUUGUUUUGAAACAAUUUUAAUAAAUAACUUGAUAAGUCUACUGAGCAUUUGCUGUGAGGCAUUAACACUGCUCUGCAGAAGUCUUUACAGGCCUAAAGAUCAGGUACAACACUGGCAAUGUGUGUAGUGCCACUAAUCUGGGAGGAGAAAAACCCCACCAUCAUUAUGUUUUUUCUUUCCCCAAAUUCAGCAGUGAACAAAAUCUUUCAAGUUUCUGUUCCUACUUCCAGGAUGAUUCUAGGAAAAGAGCCUAUCUAAAUAAGGCUCAUAUAAUUUUUGUUUUGUUCUGUCUGUAAAUGGGCUAACAUUAUGUAGACGAUGGAGCCCUGAGUUUUCUGCAUUAGUUUUCCCUUUUAUUUUUUAAAAUGUAGUCUCAAAGGGAAUUCUCACAAUUCUGUGCCACAUGUAAAUUCCCACAUUAGUACGCUUUGAUAAAUAAAUGCUAAUAUUCUAGCAAGAUAUUUAAAGAAAACCAUAAUAAGAUAAUUAAGUACUAAAUACCUUGUUCAUAGCUGAUAUGGGCAACCAUCCAUGCUGUCUUUGGGCCAAAUCUAGUACUGCCAUGACAGCUGCAGACUUGUGUCCCCCUGGGUAGUUGUUUAUGAUUGCUUCUAUUCGCUUUUUAAAGGGAAAAGGGGGAAAAAAAAAAAGUAUCAGUAUUGAUCUAAAGACAAAAGUCUGUGUAUUUAACUUUUUUUGUCCGCAUACCUUUUGGUUUUCAGGUGUGAACUCAAAUGGAGUAUCUGGAUUAUUUUCAGGACUAUCUCUGUGCUUCAGGAAAAGAAAAAGAAAACAUGUAAAAAUAGGGCUGUCAGGAAAUUAUUCAGGACAGAUUUACUGUUAUAAAACAUCUUCUCAUUAGACAGUAACAGUUGAGUUGCUUGAAUAAAACUGAUAUAUUCCAGAUAAAAAUUUCAUAGUAGUCAAAUGAUUAAAUAUGUCUGGGAAAGUUAUAAAAAAUUUUGAUAAUUAUUUCGUCACUCCUAAAAAUAAUGACUUAUUCCUGUUAUUUCCUAUUAAAAACAUUUCUUGAGGAAUAUGGUGUUAUCAAAAUAUACUUUUUUUUAACACUUAAUACAGUUUAGCAAUUAUGUUCAAACUCAUCACAGUCCUCUGGUUAAUACCUUAAUAAACAACAAGGGACUUAAACAGCAGCCCAUUUUUUUCUUUCACCAUGAGGCAUUAACUGUAAAAACUUCAAAAUUCAUCAAGAAGCUUGCUAUACAACUAAAACAUUUGCACAUCCAAACACACAUUAAUCCAUUUUAACAUAUUCUUUUGAUUUGUAAUGGAUUUCAACAUUCUAAUUUUAGAUACAACUGUGAAUCAGAAUGGAAGAAGCAGAAUUUUGAAUUAAUAUUUCCAAAAUAAGAAAAUACAAAUUUGGAAGUCUUGAAGAAAGUGACAUUUUCCUAUAAUAAAAUCUUAGUUCUGAUGAAAAUCCUUAUCCACCAGAAAAACUUCCUGCCCAAAAUUUUCAGUUACCUCUAAGCAGCUCAUUAUGGUAUCCUUGAAACACUCAUAGCUAAGUUUCAUUCCAAACUUUAUACAGUUUUCAAAUUGAGAAAGUUUCAAAUUAAAUGGAAAGUUUGGGGGAAAAUGCAAGCUAUACUUGAGGCUUGAUGUUAAAAGUAAUCUACAACCAGCUAAUGAUAAAAGCUUUAAAAAUAUAUUUAGGAGAAAGAAAUCCACUCCACUGGCUUUCACUUCGAUCAUUUUCUCAAGUAAUCUAGGGUGAUUUUGUAGUUUCCACGCUGUGUUCAUAUUAAGCAGUGAAGGAUUUAAUGAAAAAUCUUAACAUUGCAAGAUACUUGCAUACUGAAAGACUGUCAUCAGUGCAGAACUUAAAAUAUGUAUGGUCCAUAGCUAUUCCUGGAUUUAGAAAUUAAUAUGGAAAUAUUGAAAGGCCAAAAACUUGAAUUAUAACUGUUAGUCUAAUGAGAGAUUCCCUUUGCUUAUCCUGUCUAUAUCCUAGAGCAGACAGUACUACUGCUCCCAUCAAUUUGAGAGCUUGUACCCCUACCACAGUUCCAAGUCAAAUAUAAAACUACAGUCAAUAUAUACUUCUCCACUAAGGACGACUUUCCCCUAAUAAAAGGCAUUGCAGAAGGAUAAUCAAUAUCCUUUGAACACACUAAUAUUUUAUUAAGUAUGAAUUUAUUGCUUAUUGUGUGGUCUACAAGGUAACAUAAAACAGCUUUUAAGAACACAAUUGCCACUAUUUUAGACUGACCCUUCCAGAUACAGGAUUUGACUCCUCAUAUGUAGUGUUGCUGAGGGUUUUCUACCAAUUUUAAAGAAAGUUCUCAAAAAGAGGCUGAUGGAGGAAAAACUAAUUGGGAAUACCGUGCAACUUUUAAUUUUUUUUCCCCUUACAGACCUGUUCUAUGUCUUAGCUGCACAGAUCAAAUCCAUGAUUCAUGAUAAGUACUUACAUAACUUAACUUUUCCUUCUCAAAUUUGCAUACCCAUUUUAUUUCAGUCUGCUAUUUUGCCUUCCAUAGCUAUUUGAUAGUUACAGUUGUACUUCAUCUCAAUUUCUUUUGCAAGUAAGUAUAUUUGAUUUAUUAAAAUCUCCUCCUUUGUCUACAACAGCUCUUCUUUUCAGUGUAUCAUCUCUAAACUGGUAUCCUUAAAUAGCCUACAUGUGAGGAGGAAUAAUAAAGACUUUAUAUCUGAAGCUAGUUUGCCACACAGUCAGUUCUGUGCAGCAAGGCCCCAAAAUGUGUUUUAAAGCCUACAGCACAGGUGAAUACUAAAUAAGAUCAUGUCACCUUUUUUUGUUUUCCAUUUUCCUAAAUGGGCUUCAUCUCAUUCUGUGCUGUAGAGAGCUUGAUAGUUUUCAUCAGUAGCUAACAGAGUUCUAGGUCUACUGAGCUGUUAGGAAUUUGUCAGUCACAUGUUCCCUAGUAUUCCAUUUGUCUGAUGACGCACCAUUUAUCUGAGACUUGCAUGAGCUGAUUUGCUCCUAAAUGGUAUCGGUGCAUUUCUGCCUUUUCUUAGGACACAGAUUCUGGAGAACAAGAUCAGAAUUAAGGACACAGUAUUGGAAGGAAUACUAUGUUAAAUCACAGAGUGGUUGAGGUUGGAAGGGACCUCUGGAGGUUGUCUGGCCCAAACCCCCCUGCUCACGCAAAGCCACCCAGAGCUGGUUGCCCAGGACCAUGUCCAGACAGCUUCUCCUGAGUAACUCCAAGGUGGGAGACUCCACAACCUCCCUGGGCAACCUGUGCCAGUGCUUGGUCACCCUCACAGUAAAAAAGUGUUGGCUGAUGUUCUCCGAGGCCAUUGUCUCUGGCUCUGUCACUGGGCACCACUAAAAAGAGCCUGGCUCCAUCUUCUUUGCACCCUCCCUUCAGGUAUUUAUAGGCAUUGGUAAGAUCCCUCCUCCCCCAGUCUUCUCUAACAGUCCCAGCUCUCUCAACCCUUCCUCAUAUAACAGAUGCUCAUAAAAAGAAACUGAUACAUUAAGGCUUCCUCUAUACACAAAGUAAGUACAAUUAUGUCUGUACCAACUACAGCAAUUUGUAGAAAAGCAAGGUCAAAUUCUAGCCAUGCUUUUUUUCCCAAUUCCCUUCUUGUGCUCCCCAAUUUCCUGAAGUCUUACACAGUAUGUUUUCAUUCUAUGCAUAGCUUGACUGUAUCACAUUUCUAUUGCAACAUUCAGCCUAACCUACUUGAAGUGUGAACAACUGCACUGUGAAGGCCUACCAAAGCCACACUGCCCCCACAGAUGAUGGUACUCUCUCAUGGAAGGUACUAAGGCUGCUGAAUGUUCAUCUCAUUCUUUUUGCUACACCAACCUGGGCCAUUUUAUUAUUCUUUUUCAGUGAUUUAAUCAUCUGUCUUUCUUGACAGAGAGAAUUAUUAAAGAGUGCUGAAGAAUUACAGUAGAAUAACUAGAAUAAUUGAGCUUUCAUGUAUACUGCAAAAAAGUCGGCCUGAAACUUGACCUAUGCCUGUUUACCUGUGGUAAACAUUAGUCCAAAACACUGUAAACCAAAAUGAGAGAACUGUGUGGUAUGCAGGGGAAUAGAUGUUUAGGGCAACAACCUGUUAAAAGUCCCAAUCAAAUCAGCAACUGAAAGAAAUUUAUUACUUCCCCUCCAAGGGUAAAGUACUCUACAUUCACUAUUCCAGCAAAACUCAAGAUAUAAACCUUCUUAAGUUAAGAAUGGUAGAAGUGCUCUCAGACCCAAGUAUUUCACUGACCAUCUUCACAAGUAACUAAAACUAUAAUAUAGCAAUUAUCUAACCUUCUGUACUGAAUCCCGUGCAGCCCUAUGACAAAGCCCACAUCAGGGCAGUCAAUGUGUUAAGGAAACUCAGUCCCUGUGUUGAAAACCACAAAGUAGAACAGUUAAGUUUUAGCUGUUAAGGAGGCUAAAGACAGAUAGAAGUUAAAAAUAGAGAAGGCAUGUUUAAAGAAAUAAAGGUAACUAUUAUAAAUAAAAGUAUCUUUGAAAUCAGGCCUUUCCUAGCCAUCAGAAACAUGAUAGAUUUGGAACAGCUCUCUUAGGUUACAAUGGGCAAACAAUCUACCUAGUUUUAAACUUGAUACACAUUUCUGGGAGUGUGAUCUAGCUGCCUGUGAUGGCACCAGACUGAGUUUAAUUGUUGGGAAAGUCUCUUCUUGGCUGUUUCAGAAUAAAAAGGAGUUUCAGUAGAAGUUUUCUUAUUUCUGUAUAUUUCUGAUAACAUGUAAAGAAAAAACUUGCAUGAAAAAAGUUUGCAAAGGGAUACAAGGGCGUGCAAAUCAGCACUGCCUUUUAAUACUAGCUUUUAAGACAACCAGGUCCCCUGCCAGCGUGUCCCCCUGCUGUUACAAAACAAAUAUGCUGUAUGCAUUUCUCUUCCUCAC